UUUCAGAGUUUAGGUCACCGACGGUCUGUCGGAUGUUGGUGAUGUCUCCUCGGAGGAUUCCGUAGCCGACGUGCACUGGCGUUCGUUCCAUCAUCGUAUCAUCACCGCGCCCUUGAGAACCAACAUUGUCCUCAAUGUUGACUGAAGGAAAGAGCUCCGCCAAGUCUUCUUCAAACUCCCAUGAGGUAUCUUCUGGAAAUGCUCCACUCCACAGUACAAGCACCUGUUUUCUAGUCUUCCCUCCUUGUAAUAUUUUCCUUUCAUCUAAUAAGGCAGUAGGGUAAACGAUAGGUUGGUUAUUCACUGUGGUGAUAUGUUGAUCAUCAAUCGGAUUUUUUGGAAUGGGGCCGUGGAGUUUUCUCAGUAUGGAAACAUAGAAAGUCGAGUGAAUCUUACUUCCCUCAGGUAAUUCCAAUUUAUAGGCAACUUGGUUCAGUUUCUUGCAUAUCUUGUAUGGACCAAAAAACUUUUUGCAAAAUUUGUUAUGCAAUCGAUGAGCAACUGAAAUUUGUCUGUAUGGUUUCAAUUGAACAAAAACCCAAUCUCCC
rnacentral:lncRNA from 1 species